rnacentral:rRNA from 1 species
UACGUAGGGUGCGAGCGUUAAUCGGAAUUACUGGGCGUAAAGUGUGCGCAGGCGGCAGAGCAAGUCGAGUGUGAAAGCCCCGGGCUUAACUUGGGAAUUGCGCUCGAAACUACUUUGCUGGAGUGUGGCAGAGGAAGGUGGAAUUCCACGUGUAGCGGUGAAAUGACGUAGAUAUGUGGAGGAAUACCGAUGGCGAAGGCAGCCCCCUGGGUCCAAGGACUGACGCUCCAUG